rnacentral:rRNA from 1 species
AACGAACGCUGGCGGCAGGCCUAACACAUGCAAGUCGAACGCCCGUAGCAAUACGGGAGUGGCAGACGGGUGAGUAACGCGUGGGAACGUGCCCUUCGGUUCGGAAUAACUCAGGGAAACUUGAGCUAAUACCGGAUACGUCCGUAAGGAGAAAGAUUUAUCGCCGAAGGAUCGGCCCGCGUCGGAUUAGCUAGUUGGUGAGGUAACGGCCCACCAAGGCGACGAUCCGUAGCUGGUCUGAGAGGANGAUCAGCCACACUGGGACUGAGACACGGCCCAGACUCCUACGGGAGGCAGCAGUGGGGAAUAUUGGACAAUGGGCGAAAGCCUGAUCCAGCCAUGCCGCGUGAGUGAAGAAGGCCUUAGGGUUGUAAAGCACUUUCAGUAGGGAAGAAAAGCC